rnacentral:rRNA from 1 species
AGGACGAACGCUGGCGGCGUGCUUAACACAUGCAAGUCGAGCGGAAAGGCCCUUCGGGGUACUCGAGCGGCGAACGGGUGAGUAACACGUGAGUAACCUGCCCCUAGCUCUGGGAUAGCUCCGGGAAACCGGGAUUAAUACCGGAUACGACCACAGCCGACAUCUGCUGUGGUGGAAAGGAUUCCGGCUAAGGAUGGGCUCGCGGCCUAUCAGCUAGUUGGUGGAGUAACGGCCCACCAAGGCGACGACGGGUA